rnacentral:lncRNA from 1 species
UGACUCCUCAUCAUAGGUAAUGACCUCAAUUAAAAUUAAUAAAAUGUCCUAAUUAUAAUCAGAAGAAAAUAUCUAUAAAUACUUGUCCUAAAAUGAAUGCAAUAUGUAAAUAAGCAAAUAAAAAUUCCAUUGGCAGAAAAAACAGAGUGUCCAUUGUGGGCCAGUGGCCUUACCAAGUGUGAUCUUGAUAGUUGUGAGCAGAUAGGUUGCUGAUACUCACUUAGAUAGUUUCCUUUAUUUUCUUUCCUCUCCUCAGGUUGGAGUGGUAACGCUGUGAACAUGUCGGGAGACUUGUCAAAUCUGGAGACAUUUCUACUAAAGCCUCUCAUGUCUAUGACCUUUCAGGUUUCCAGGCACAGCAGGUUUUCUUGAGCCUUGUGAGUGUUACCACUCAGUAGCCACUACCUACAUCCUCUUGGUGCUUGGCUCUGUGAGCUCCAUUUGUCUCUCUGGAAAACACCACACUUUCAGAGAGCAGAGGAUUUUCCAGAAUUCACCAUAUAGCUGAUGUCUAGAUCUUGCAAACUUUUUUUCCACCUCUUCUAAAAUGUUCUCUGAACUUGGGGCUAGCGAAGGUGUUACAUCAUUGCUCUUUUAGGGCUAAGCAGUCCAUAGUCACUUAAGCUGUGCACCUUGACCAGUUGGUUGUGGCUCUAUGUGUCAAGACCUCCCGCUGCAGUUGUAAGAA